GCCGGCGUAGCUCAGUGGCAGAGCAGCUGACUUGUAAUCAGCAGGUCGGGGGUUCAAAUCCCUUCGCCGGCU
rnacentral:tRNA from 1 species